rnacentral:rRNA from 1 species
CUACGGGUGGCUCCAGUGGGGAAUAUUGGACAAUGGGGGAAACCCUGAUCCAGCAAUGCCGCGUGUGUGAAGAAGGCCUGCGGGUUGUAAAGCACUUUCGGUUGGGAGGACUGCUUCUAGCACUAAUAUUGUUGGAAGUUGACGUUACCUUCAGAAGAAGCACCGGCUAACUCCGUGCCAGCAGCCGCGGUAAUACGGAGGGUGCAAGUGUUAAUCGGAAUUACUGGGCGUAAGGCGCGCGUAGGCGGCUAGAUCAGUCGGGUGUGAAAGCCCCGGGCUUAACCUGGGAACUGCAUCCGAUACUGUCUAGCUUGAGUACAGGAGAGGAGAGUGGAAUUCCACAUGUAGCGGUGAAAUGCGUAGAUAUGUGGAGGAACACCAAUGGCGAAGGCAGCUCUCUGGCCUGAUACUGACGUUGAGGUGUGAAAGCGUGGGGAGCAAACAGGAUUAGAUACCCCAGUAGUC